rnacentral:rRNA from 1 species
UCUAGCUACAGGCUUAACACAUGCAAGUCGAGGGGCAUCGGGUAGAAAGCUUGCUUUCUUUGCCGGCGACCGGCGCACGGGUGAGUAACACGUAUCCAACCUGCCCUUUACUCGGGGAUAGCCUUUCGAAAGAAAGAUUAAUACCCGAUAGUAUAAUGAUUCCGCAUGGUUUCAUUAUUAAAGGAUUCCGGUAAAGGAUGGGGAUGCGUUCCAUUAGGUUGUUGGUGAGGUAACGGCUCACCAAGCCUUCGAUGGAUAGGGGUUCUGAGAGGAAGGUCCCCCACAUUGGAACUGAGACACGGUCCAAACUCCUACGGGAGGCAGCAGUGAGGAAUAUUGGUCAAUGGGCGCUAGCCUGAACCAGCCAAGUAGCGUGAAGGAUGAAGGCUCUAUGGGUCGUAAACUUCUUUUAUAUAAGAAUAAAGUGCAGUAUGUAUACUGUUUUGUAUGUAUUAUAUGAAUAAGGAUCGGCUAACUCCGUGCCAGCAGCCGCGGUAAUACGGAGGAUCCGAGCGUUAUCCGGAUUUAUUGGGUUUAAAGGGAGCGUAGGUGGACUGGUAAGUCAGUUGUGAAAGUUUGCGGCUCAACCGUAAAAUUGCAGUUGAUACUGUCAGUCUUGAGUACAGUAGAGGUGGGCGGAAUUCGUGGUGUAGCGGUGAAAUGCUUAGAUAUCACGAAGAACUCCGAUUGCGAAGGCAGCUCACUGGACUGCAACUGACACUGAUGCUCGAAAGUGUGGGUAUCAAACAGGAUUAGAUACCCUGGUAGUCCACACAGUAAACGAUGAAUACUCGCUGUUUGCGAUAUACAGUAAGCGGCCAAGCGAAAGCAUUAAGUAUUCCACCUGGGGAGUACGCCGGCAACGGUGAAACUCAAAGGAAUUGACGGGGGCCCGCACAAGCGGAGGAACAUGUGGUUUAAUUCGAUGAUACGCGAGGAACCUUACCCGGGCUUAAAUUGCAGUGGAAUGAUGUGGAAACAUGUCAGUGAGCAAUCACCGCUGUGAAGGUGCUGCAUGGUUGUCGUCAGCUCGUGCCGUGAGGUGUCGGCUUAAGUGCCAUAACGAGCGCAACCCUUAUCUUCAGUUACUAACAGGUCAUGCUGAGGACUCUGGAGAGACUGCCGUCGUAAGAUGUGAGGAGGGUGGGGAUGACGUCAAAUCAGCACGGCCCUUACGUCCGGGGCUACACACGUGUUACAAUGGGGGGUACAGAAGGCAGCUAGCGGGUGACCGUAUGCUAAUCCCAAAAUCCUCUCUCAGUUCGGAUCGAAGUCUGCAACCCGACUUCGUGAAGCUGGAUUCGCUAGUAAUCGCGCAUCAGCCACGGCGCGGUGAAUACGUUCCCGGGCCUUGUACACACCGCCCGUCAAGCCAUGGGAGCCGGGGGUACCUGAAGUACGUAACCGCAAGGAUCGUCCUAGGGUAAAACUGGUGACUG